UUUCAUAUUUUAGCAUUCAGUUACAUAAUGAGGAGCUAACCUGUUUCAAAUAAUAUCCAAUAAUGAGGUCCAGAAUUAUGAUGAAUAACAGUAUUUUAUCUCGAUGCUUUAAAACGUUAUUACAAAAAAAAGUGGCCAAAAUUGUCAGGAGUGUAAUACCCAUAGUUAGGGUUA